GCCUCAAGUGAUGUGUGACUACCCC
rnacentral:rRNA from 1 species